rnacentral:rRNA from 1 species
AACGAACGCUGGCGGCAUGCCUAACACAUGCAAGUCGAACGAGACCUUCGGGUCUAGUGGCGCACGGGUGCGUAACGCGUGGGAACCUGCCCUUAGGUUCGGAAUAACUCCCCGAAAGGGGUGCUAAUACCGGAUAAUGUCUUCGGACCAAAGAUUUAUCGCCUUUGGAUGGGCCCGCGUUGGAUUAGCUAGUUGGUAGGGUAAAAGCCUACCAAGGCGACGAUGCAUAGCUGGUCUGAGAGGAUGAUCAGCCACACUGGGACUGCGACACGGCCCAGACUCCUACGGGAGGGAGCAGUGGGGAAUAUUGGACAAUGGGCGCAAGCCUGAUACAGCCAUGCCGCGUGAGUGAUGAAGGCCUUAGGGUUGUAAAGCUCUUUUACCCGGGAUGAUAAUGACAGUACCGGGAGAAUAGGCACCGGCUAACUACGUG